UGAUUGGACACCCCUGCAACAGUACAUGCCUGGAAAAGAAAUAAGAAGCAGACACAAUAGUGGUAAAAAAGCAUUACACAAGAUAAAAGGAAUAUUGGAAUGAGCUCACUAAUUUCCAUGCCAACAUUGUGACUGGAAUUACAUUGAGACUAAAGAUCAAUUUGGGAAGAAAUGCCAUCCUUAUAAUAAUAUAUCAAUAAAUCCUUAAUAUUAUUGC